AAAGGCAAAAGCAAAAACCGGCCAGGAGUCGAACCCAAAAUUCCUUGUCAAUGCUAGUUAUGUUUUCAGCAAUUUGUUUCGAAAUCUUGCCACACACAGUCGACAUUUUGUUGGCUUGUGGGCUGUAAUAUGUUUCGAGACAAAUGGCCUGAAAAUAAUAAAAUCCAAAAUGAUUCGAGCAGCUACUUAAACACACGCAAUCGCCAAAUGCUGUACGCUUAGGCAAUUCUGAGCCACUAAUUGUAAUUCUAGGGGUCGGCUAAGAACGCUGGAUCCAAGGGCGAGUGUGUGUCUGUGUGCGUGUGUAUAUGAAUUGGGGGAGUGUUGAGUGGAGUGGGGGGAAUUAAAUAUAUAUUUUAUAUAUGUACGUAGCUAUCUACCUUUAGUCACUUAAGUUGCCACAAUACUUACUAGAGAAAACAAAA